CAACCUGCCGAUGACUCGGGGAUAGCCUUUCGAAAGAAAGAUUAAUACCCGAUGGCAUAGUUCUUCCGCAUGGUGGAACUAUUAAAGAAUUUCGGUCAUCGAUGGGGAUGCGUUCCAUUAGGUUGUUGGCGGGGUAACGGCCCACCAAGCCUUCGAUGGAUAGGGGUUCUGAGAGGAAGGUCCCCCACAUUGGAACUGAGACACGGUCCAAACUCCUACGGGAGGCAGCAGUGAGGAAUAUUGGUCAAUGGACGAGAGUCUGAACCAGCCAAGUAGCGUGAAGGAUGACUGCCCUAUGGGUUGUAAACUUCUUUUAUACGGGAAUAAAGUGAGGCACGUGUGCCUUUUUGUAUGUACCGUAUGAAUAAGGAUCGGCUAACUCCGUGCCAGCAGCCGCGGUAAUACGGAGGAUCCGAGCGUUAUCCGGAUUUAUUGGGUUUAAAGGGAGCGUAGGCGGACGCUUAAGUCAGUUGUGAAAGUUUGCGGCUCAACCGUAAAAUUGCAGUUGACACUGGGUGUCUUGAGUACAGUAGAGGCAGGCGGAAUUCGUGGUGUAGCGGUGAAAUGCUUAGAUAUCACGAAGAACUCCGAUUG
rnacentral:rRNA from 1 species